rnacentral:tRNA from 1 species
AGUAAUAUGGCUGAGUUUUAAGCGAUAAAUUGUAAAUUUAUUUAUAAAUUAAAAAAAUUUUGUUACUG